AGUGGCGAACGGGUGAGUAACACGUGAGUAACCUGCCCUUAACUCUGGGAUAAGCCUGGGAAACUGGGUCUAAUACCGGAUAGGAGCGUCUACCGCAUGGUGGGUGUUGGAAAGAUUUAUCGGUUUUGGAUGGACUCGCGGCCUAUCAGCUUGUUGGUGAGGUAAUGGCUCACCAAGGCGACGACGGGUAGCCGGCCUGAGAGGGUGACCGGCCACACUGGGACUGAGACACGGCCCAG
rnacentral:rRNA from 1 species